rnacentral:rRNA from 1 species
UACAGAGGGGGCAAGCGUUGUUCGGAAUUACUGGGCGUAAAGGGCGCGUAGGCGGCCUUCUAAGUCGAACGUGAAAUCCCUGGGCUCAACCCAGGAACUGCGUCCGAUACUGGAAGGCUUGAAUCCGGGAGAGGGAUGCGGAAUUCCAGGUGUAGCGGUGAAAUGCAUAGAUAUCUGGAGGAACACCGGUGGCGAAGGCGGCAUCCUGGACCGGCAUUGACGCUGAGGCGCGAAAGCCAGGGGAGCAAACGGG